GCCGCCUUGGAUCUCUGCUGGCUUGGACUGCAGCUUCGCUGGCUCUUGGAAGCUGAUCUGGAGCACUAUUUUUGGAAUAAAAUUUUCAGCGGUCAGCUUGGUUUUCUUCUUCACUCUGACUGGUGACAAGAUCUUCCUCACCCAGCCGGGUUUGUAGCAGCUCCCAAUGUUUUGACCUUCAUAAAUAUUCCUGUCAUUCCACUUAUAACUAGAACUUUUUGAUCGAUGGGAGGAACAUGAGACAAAGUCUUCCAUCAUCUGAGAUCCCAAAGUGACUCUGGAGGAGCUGCAGAG